rnacentral:rRNA from 1 species
UGCGUAGGCGGUCCGCUAAGUUGGAUGUGAAAACUCUGGGCUUAACCCAGAGCCUGCAUUCAAAACUGACGGGCUAGAGUUCUGGAGGGGGUAGUGGAAUUCCUGGUGUAGCGGUGAAAUGCGUAGAUAUCAGGAGGAACACCGGUGGCGAAGGCGGCUACCUGGACAGAAACUGACGCUGAGGCACGAAAGCUAGGGGAGCAAACAGGAUUAGAUACCCUGGUAGUCCUAGCCCUAAACGAUGGAUACUUGGUGUGACCGGGAUUGAAUCCGGUCGUGCCGAAGCUAACGCAUUAAGUAUCCCGCCUGGGGAGUACGGUCGCAAGGCUGAA